rnacentral:rRNA from 1 species
UGAAUACGAGAUGCUACGGCAUUGAAGCGGUGUAUGUCAGACUUCCAAGAAAAGCUCGCAAUGUCAUAAACAAAAAUGCCUGUACCAUAACCGACACAGGUGGGUAGGUAGAGUAUACUAAGGGGCGCGAGAUAACUCUCUCUAAGGAACUCGGCAAAAUGACUCCGUAACUUCGGGAGAAGGAGUGCCUUAUUUAUUAAGGUUGCAAUAACAAGAUCCAAGCAACUGUUUACCAAAAACACAGGUCUCCGCUAAGUCGUAAGACGAUGUAUGUGGGCUGACGCCUGCCCAGUGCCAGAAGGUUAAAGAAGUUGGUUAGCAUUGCGAAGCUGAUGACUGAAGCCCUGGUGAACGGCGGCCGUAACGAUAACGGUCCUAAGGUAGCGAAAUUCCUUGUCGGGUAAGUUCCGACCCGCACGAAAGGCGUAAUGAUUUGGAUACUGUCUCGGAGAGGGGCUCGGUGAAAUAGACUUGUCUGUGAAGAUGCGGACUACCUGCACCAGGACAGAAAGACCCUAUGAAGCUUUACUGUAACUUGAGAUUGAAAUUGGACUUUAUUUGCGCAGUAUAGGUGGGAGACGUUGAGAAUAUUCUUGCGGGAAUAUUGGAGUCAUCAGUGAGAUACCACUCUUGUAAUGUUAGAUUUCUAACUUUGUAUCAUUAUCUGGUCAAAGAACAGUCUCAGGCGGGCAGUUUGACUGGGGCGGUCGCCUCCCAAACGGUAACGGAGGCGCACAAAGGUUUCCUCUGAACGUGUAGAAAUCGUAUCUAGAGUGUAAAGGCAUAAGGAAGCUUGACUGUGAGACCUACAAGUCGAGCAGGGACGAAAGUCGGUCUUAGUGAUCUGACGGUGCUGAGUGGAAAGGCCGUCACUCAACGGAUAAAAGUUACUCUAAGGAUAACAGGCUGAUCUCCCCCAAGAGUUCACAUCGACGGGGAGGUUUGGCACCUCGAUGUCGGCUCAUCGCAUCCUGGGGCGGUAGUACGUCCCAAGGGUUGGGCUGUUCGCCCAUGAAAGCGGUACGCGAGCUGGGUUCAGAACGUCGUGAGACAGUUCGGUCCAUAUCCGGUGUAGGCGUUAGAAUGUUGAGAGGAGCCUUCUUUAGUACGAGAGGACCGAGAAGGACAUACCUCUGGUGUACCAGUUAUCGUGCCAACGGUAAACGCUGGGUAGCUAUGUAUGGAGAGGAUAACCGCUGAAAGCAUCUAAGUGGGAAGCCCACCUCAAGAUAAG